rnacentral:lncRNA from 1 species
UUCAGUGACAACAAAAAAGAGAAUGUCUUUCAAUUAGGAUAGUGCACUGGUUGGACAAGCACCAGAACUGAGGCAAGGCAGGGGGCAGGAUUGUGUGGGUGGCUUGGAAGAGGAGCUGGAUGUUAGCACUCAGCAUGACUUGGAACCACAGCUUAAGGAUAGAGUUACACUUCAUGGUUGACCUUAUCUAACAGCCAGAAUGGAUCCUAACUGAACUUCUUGGAAGAGAGCUGAACUCAGCCAGUGAACCUGCUUUCGUAUGAACAUAGUGACUUUAAGAAAAAUGAAAGUGCAGCAGUGCAAGCCUUUGAGUGGACAUUUAAUAGUAAAAAGGCAUCCCGCCAAGUUUAGACAAGAAGGCUCUACACAGACAAGAUAUCACUUCCCUCACCCUCCACCUAAAAACAAAAGAAAAGGAUACAUUACAUCUAACAAAUUGGGAAGAGAAUUUAUCUUCUGUUCCAUUCCUCUUUGUUAAGAAUUGUCAGCAGAUUGCACCUAAACACACUACUACAGAGAACAGAUUACCUGACCUCUGGAGAUAUUUUGCCAUAGCAGAGCUAUAGGCACAGAAUGGCUGUGUCCUGUCUGCACUUUUCAGAUAGCUACCUAAGGAAUAAUACAGUCUUUGGGACUAUGAAUUGACUGGUGCAGAAUUUCUUACCUAAAGGUUGCUAACAGUGUUUCCCGCCAGUAAAGAUUCAUUGUCUGCAAAAUAAAUUAUUAUUGUUAUUAUUAUUAUUCUAUAGC